AGUGAACGCUGGCGGUAGGCCUAACACAUGCAAGUCGAACGGCAGCACAGUAAGAGCUUGCUCUUACGGGUGGCGAGUGGCGGACGGGUGAGGAAUACAUCGGAAUCUACUUUUUCGUGGGGGAUAACGUAGGGAAACUUACGCUAAUACCGCAUACGACCUACGGGUGAAAGCAGGGGAUCUUCGGACCUUGCGCGAUUGAAUGAGCCGAUGUCGGAUUAGCUAGUUGGCGGGGUAAAGGCCCACCAAGGCGACGAUCCGUAGCUGGUCUGAGAGGAUGAUAAGCCACACUGGAACUGAGACACGGUCCAGACUCCUACGGGAGGCAGCAGUGGGGAAUAUUGGACAAUGGGCGCAAGCCUGAUCCAGCCAUACCGCGUGGGUGAAGAAGGCCUUCGGGUUGUAAAGCCCUUUUGUUGGGAAAGAAAAGCAGCAGGUUAAUACCCCGCCGUUCUGACGGUACCCAAAGAAUAAGCACCGGCUAACUCCGUG
rnacentral:rRNA from 1 species